CACGUAGGGCGCAAGCGUUGUCCGGAAUUAUUGGGCGUAAAGAGCUCGUAGGCGGUUUGUCGCGUCUGCUGUGAAAACCCGAGGCUCAACCUCGGGCCUGCAGUGGGUACGGGCAGACUAGAGUGGCGGUAGGGGAGAUUGGAAUUCCUGGUGUAGCGGUGGAAUGCGCAGAUAUCAGGAGGAACACCAAUGGCGAAGGCAGAUCUCUGGGCCGUAACUGACGCUGAGGAGCGAAAGCAUGGGGAGCGAACAGG
rnacentral:rRNA from 1 species